CCAGCGUGCCCGCCUCCACGCGCAAGGCCUGGACCACCGGCUGGUAGACGACACCCGUGAGCGAGGAUGUUGAUAGCGAUGGCUUCAGCAUGUGCUGAGUGGGCGCCGCAACGGGCAUGGGUGCAACGACGGAGCCUCCUGAGG
rnacentral:ribozyme from 14 species